GCGCCCCGGCCGCCGGGCACCCGGGACCCGACCCGGACGCGAGCCCACAGUGCGGGCAUGGCGCGCGGCAGGGUCUCCCGCCUCUCGGUCCGCGACGUGCGCUUCCCCACGUCGCUGGGGGGCCACGGCUCGGACGCCAUGCACACGGACCCUGACUACUCGGCUGCCUAUGUCGUCAUAGAGACGGAUGCGGAAGAUGGACUCAAGGGUUAUGGAAUUACCUUCACGCUGGGCAGAGGCACUGAAGUUGUUGUCUGUGCUGUGAAUGCCCUCGCCCACCAUGUGCUUAACAAGGACCUCAGGGACAUUGUUGGUGACUUCAGAGGCUUCUACAGGCAGCUCACAAGUGAUGGGCAGCUCAGAUGGAUUGGUCCAGAGAAAGGCGUGGUGCAUCUGGCGACUGCGGCCGUUCUCAAUGCGGUGUGGGACCUGUGGGCCAAGCAGGAGGGAAAGCCUCUCUGGAAGUUGCUUGUGGACAUGGACCCCAGGACGCUGGUAUCCUGCAUAGAUUUCAGGUACAUCACCGACGUCCUGACUGAGGAGGAUGCCUACGAAAUACUGCAGAAAGGUCAAGUUGGUAAAAAAGAAAGAGAGGAGCACAUGCUGACAGGCGGCUACCCUGCCUACACGACGUCGUGUGCCUGGCUGGGCUACUCAGAUGACACGUUGAAGCAGCUCUGCCAGGAGGCGCUGAAGGAUGGCUGGACCAGGUUUAAAGUGAAGGUUGGCGCUGACGUGCAGGACGACGUGCGGAGGUGCCGACUCAUCAGAGACAUGAUUGGACCAGAGAAAACUUUGAUGAUGGAUGCCAACCAACGCUGGGAUGUGCCCGAGGCGGUGGAGUGGAUGUCCAAGCUGGCCGAGUUCAAGCCAUUGUGGAUUGAGGAGCCAACCUCCCCCGAUGACAUUCUGGGGUAUGCUGCCAUUUCCAAGGCAUUGGUCCCGUUAGGAAUUGGCGUUGCCACAGGAGAGCAGGUAAGUGACACCUCCUCGGGGUCAGUACACGCUGACCACAGACUGAGGACACAGUCAUACAUUAGCCUCCGUCACCUGAGUUGGGAAGUUUUCAUCAUCUUAGAAAAUGGGUCAUUUCACAGCACUUCAUUAAAGUCUGGAGUCAGAUACAGUCAAAAGUUUAUGGCUUCUUUUCCAGUUCAUAUGACUAAGGUCAUGGAUCUUUUUCAAAGUAUCUAAUCAAGAUUGACAAGGCAGCAAGUUAAAGUUGCUAUCACGAGGGCAGAAGAUGGUUGUAAGAAAGCCAGCUUUCAAAUGGAAUAAACAUGAUUAUGUUCACUUUUUGUGCUUACAAACUAAGCUUAGCAAGAGCUGCCAAAACCUGCUGCAGUCAGCCCACGAGCAAAGCAGCAUGAGGGACAGAUUCUGUUUUCCCCAAAAAAGGAGCAACACUACGGUGCCAUGGUUCCGUUCUGUCAUCUGACAGCCACCUGCUUAUCGCUGUCACCGUAUUUCAUCCUGAUGCUCCACUUCAUCUCCCUCUUGCCUAUGGAUGUGAGUUAUUCCUUAAUAAAUGGCCAGCUGGUGUGACUAUACCUGACUCGCAGUGUGGCAUUAGUGAAUUUGUAGGAAAGUGAGCACAGGGUCCCCGCCCGCAGCAGCCGAGCUCACCCCAUGCCCAGUGAGAACGAAGGAGAGACGCAGGCUGGGCUCCCCAAGGGCCCCUGUGCCACAAUAGAGUGAUAUUUAAGCAACUCCUACAGGCGAACGCCCUGCAGUUCCUCCAGAUUGACAGCUGCAGACUGGGAAGUGUCAAUGAA